rnacentral:rRNA from 1 species
UACGAAGGGUGCUAGCGUUGUUCGGAAUCACUGGGCGUAAAGCGCGCGUAGGCGGUUAUUCAAGUCAGGGGUGAAAUCCUGAGGCUCAACCUCAGAAUUGCCUUUGAAACUGUAUGACUGGAGUGUCGGAGGGGAUAGCGGAAUUGCUAAUGUAGCGGUGAAAUGCGUAGAUAUUAGCAGGAACACCGGUGGCGAAGGCGGCUAUCUGGACGACAACUGACGCUGAGGCGCGAAAGCGCGGGGAUCAAACAGG